CCUACGGGUGGCAGCAGUGGGGAAUAUUGCGCAAUGGGCGAAAGCCUGACGCAGCGACGCCGCGUGUAUGAUGAAGGUUUUCGGAUUGUAAACUCCUUUUGUUAGAGAAGAUAAUGACAGUAUCUAACGAAUAAGCACCGGCUAACUCCGUGCCAGCAGCCGCGGUAAUACGGAGGGUGCAAGCGUUACUCGGAAUCACUGGGCGUAAAGAGCGCGGAGGCGGGAUAGCAAGUCAGAUGUGAAAUCCUAGGGCUUAACCAUAGAACUGCAUUUGAAACUGUUAGUCUAGAGUAUGGGAGAGGUAGGUGGAAUUCUUGGUGUAGGGGUGAAAUCCGUAGAGAUCAAGAGGAAUACUCAUUGCGAAGGCGACCUGCUAGAACAUAACUGACGCUGAUGCGCGAAAGCGUGGGGAGCAAACAGGAUUAGAUACCCUAGUAGUC
rnacentral:rRNA from 1 species